CUUAUUUCAUUUUACAAAAUAGGGCUUUUUUGGUUUUCUUCCUUUUAUUAUUCCUGAAAGGACCUCUCCACUCCACCCCCAAAUCGAGCAACUCACUUCUCAGACUCCCACGCUUCAUUCUCAUGAAUCGCCUACUCACUUCCGAAGUCACGUUCCCCUAAGAAGCUUUCCUGAUGUCUAAGUCUGCUGGUCCUGGAUGUCCAAGAUGCCUUCUUCCAAUGAUGGAUGUCUGAUCCCUGGCUUCUUGUGUCUGGAACAGUGGAGGUGUAUGCGGUUUUCACUUGUCUCACAGCCUCUUCAUGAAGCCAAGAGACAACAGCUGGUUCUUUUGUGGACCUUUUGUGUGCUUAUGAGUGUGGGAGGCACUUUGGAUACUUGGAACUUUCCGUCUUAAUAGCUGUAUCCAAGAGGAAUGAUUGACUCAGCCUUUAAUACAGAAACAGGUUAAAAGAAGUAAAAAUUUUGCCCAAGUUCAUGAAUUCUACAGUUGCAAGACCAAGUUUUUCUGAAUUAAAACCCCUUCUGUUUCUAUGAUAAAGUGGUAUGUCCUUGGCAAUGGUUGCAAUGUCUCCAAGUUUAGACAAUAAAGUAUUCAUACUACACCUUUGAUUGUCAGAGAAAUCCAUAUCAAUUGAUUUUCUUAAAAAUUAUGCAUGCAUUUUGAUAAGUUUUUCCCUCUCAUUUGUGAACACACAAUGCAUUUCAAUUCCACUAAUAAAG
rnacentral:lncRNA from 1 species